rnacentral:rRNA from 1 species
AUUGAACGCUGGCGGAAUGCUUUACACAUGCAAGUCGAACGGCAGCACGGACUUCGGUCUGGUGGCGAGUGGCGAACGGGUGAGUAAUGUAUCGGAACGUGCCCAGUCGUGGGGGAUAACGUAGUGAAAAUUACGCUAAUACCGCAUACGAUCUAUGGAUGAAAGCGGGGGAUCGCAAGACCUCGCGCGAUUGGAGCGGCAGAUAUCAGAUUAGGUAGUUGGUGGGGUAAAGGCCCACCAAGCCAACGAUCUGUAGCUGGUCUGAGAGGACGACCAGCCACACUGGAACUGAGACACGGUCCAGACUCCUACGGGAGGCAGCAGUGGGGAAUUUUGGACAAUGGGCGAAAGCCUGAUCCAGCCAUUCCGCGUGCAGGAUGAAGGCCCUCGGGUUGUAAACUGCUUUUGUACAGAACGAAAAGGUUUCUACUAAUACUAGGAGCUCAUGACGGCACUGUAGAAUAAGCACCGGCUAACUACGUGCCAGCCGCCGCCGUAA